GGAACUUCAAGGAGGCUGUGAUUGAAGCAGUACAAGCAAGCUUUAGGGAGAGUGACAGGCAAUGAGAUUGGAAGAAGCCAUGGCUAACUAAACAGAACCUUGUUGACCAUUAUAAGGAAUUAUAGUGCUUUAUUUUAUUCUAAGUGUGCUGGAAAACCUUUGGGAGCUUGCCAGUAGGGGAAUGCAUUGUAUGAGUUACUUUUUAAAAGGAUGACACCAGCUAUUGUGUGGAGAAUAGCAUGGGAGGAGAAGAGAGAGCAGAUGUACUAAACUGUCGCUCUAAUCCAGAUUUUUGUAAGCUGCAUUAAAUAAUUUCUGAAUGAAGCCCGAGUAAAGAUAAUCCAAUCAAUACUCAAAUUUGAAGAAGCUGCCAUGUUCAUCCAGUUUUAUGGGCUAUGUACUCCAUGGCUUGAGCUGGAUGCUCAAAUCGAAUGAUGCCAUCUGAAGUUGUGUGCUGGUCCUGGUUGGCACAUGCCCAAAGGUGGAAAGAACAUCCUAAUGGAAAACCCACAUAGUGACAUGUGGAAAUUCAGUCAAGCAGACAAUCUGA
rnacentral:lncRNA from 10 species